CCCNNNUAACUGCGAGUGAAGCGGGAAAAGCUCAANUUUAAAAUCUGAUAGUCUUUGGCUGUCCGAGUUGUAAUCUAGAGAAGUGUUAUCCGCGCUGGACCGUGUACAAGUCUCCUGGAAUGGAGCGUCAUAGAGGGUGAGAAUCCCGUCUUUGACACGGACUGCCAGGGCUUUGUGAUGCGCUCUCAAAGAGUCGAGUUGUUUGGGAAUGCAGCUCAAAAUGGGAGGUAAAUUCCUUCUAAAGCUAAAUAUUGGCGAGAGACCGAUAGCGAACAAGUACCGUGAGGGAAAGAUGAAAAGAACUUUGGAAAGAGAGUUAAACAGUACGUGAAAUUGCUGAAAGGGAAACGCUUGAAGUCAGUCGCGUUGGUCAGGAAUCAACCUUGCUUUUGCUGGGUGUACUUUCUGGUUGACGGGUCAGCAUCAAUUUUGACCGUUGGAUAAAGUCUGAGGGAAGGUGGCAUCUUCGGAUGUGUUAUAGCCCUUGGUCGCAUACAACGGUUGGGAUUGAGGAACUCAGCACGCCGCAAGGCCGGGUAUUAUACUACGUUCGUGCUUAGGAUGCUGGCAUAAUGGCUUUAAUCGACCCGUCUUGAAACACGGACCAAGGAGUCUAACAUGCCUGCGAGUGUUUGGGUGGAAAACCCGAGCGCGCAAUGAAAGUGAAAGUUGAGAUCCCUGUCGUGGGGAGCAUCGACGCCCGGACUUGACCUUUUGUGACGGAUCCGCGGUAGAGCAUGUAUGUUGGGACCC
rnacentral:rRNA from 1 species